rnacentral:rRNA from 1 species
GAUGAACGCUGGCGGCGUGCCUAAUACAUGCAAGUCGAGCGAACAGAUGAGGAGCUUGCUCCUCUGACGUUAGCGGCGGACGGGUGAGUAACACGUGGAUAACCUACCUAUAAGACUGGGAUAACUUCGGGAAACCGGAGCUAAUACCGGAUAAUAUAUUGAACCGCAUGGUUCAAUAGUGAAAGACGGUUUUGCUGUCACUUAUAGAUGGUUCCGCGCCGCAUUAGCUAGUUGGUAAGGUAACGGCUUACCAAGGCAACGAUGCGUAGCCGACCUGAGAGGGUGAUCAGACACACUGGAACUGAGACACGGUCCAGACUACUACGGGAGGCAGCAGUAGGGAAUAUUCCGCAAUGGGCGAAAGCAUGACGGAGCAACGCCGCGUGAGUGAUGAAGGUCUUCGGAUCGUAAAACUCUGUUAUUAGGGAAGAACAAAUGUGUAAGUAACUAUGCACGUCUUGACGGUACCUAAUCAGAAAGCCACGGCUAACUACGUG